rnacentral:misc_RNA from 1 species
GAUGAAGAACGUAGCGAAAUGCGAUAAGUAAUGCGAAUUGCAGAAUUCCAGUGAGUCAUCGAAUCUUUGAACGCACAUUGCGCCCUUUGGUAUUCCGAAGGGCAUGCCUGUUCGAGCGUCAUUAUCACCCCUCAAGCCCUCGGCUUGGUGUUGGACGGUUUGGUGGAGGCCCCCUCGGGGGCUCCUGCCCCUCCCAAAGACAAUGACGGCGGCCUCGUUGGACCCCCGGUACACUGAGUUCUUCACGGGACACGUAUCGGACACAUGGGUUUACGGGACACGGUCUGCCUCCCCUCAGGGAGAAUCUUUCUAAGGUUGACCUCGGAUCAGGUAGGGAUACCCGCUGAUCUUAAGCAUAUCAAUAAGCGGAGGA